rnacentral:rRNA from 1 species
GCGCACCAGGCGCGAAAACUUCACAAUGUGCGAAAGCACGAUGAGGGAAUCCCAAGUGCUUGCUCGUAAGAGUAAGCUGUUUCUCUGUCUAAAACGCAGAGAGAGUAAGGGCUGGGUAAGACGGGUGCCAGCCGCCGCGGUAAUACCUGCAGCUCGAGUGGUGGCCGCUAUUAUUGGGCCUAAAACGUCCGUAGCCGGUUUAUUAAAUGCCUGGGUAAAUCGGACCGCUUAACGGUUCGAAUUCCGGGUAGACUGAUAAACUUGAGACCGGGAGAAGCUAGAGGUACUCCUGGGGUAGAGGUGAAAUUCUGUAAUCCUAGGGGGACCACCAGUGGCGAAGGCGUCUAGCUAGAACGGGUCUGACGGUGAGGGACGAAGCCCUGGGGCGC